rnacentral:rRNA from 1 species
GACGAACGCUGGCGGCGUGCCUAAUACAUGCAAGUUGAGCGCUGAAGGUUGGUACUUGUACCAACUGGAUGAGCAGCGAACGGGUGAGUAACGCGUGGGUAAUCUGCCUUUGAGCGGGGGACAACAUUUGGAAACGAAUGCUAAUACCGCAUAAAAACUUUAAACACAAGUUUUAAGUUUGAAAGAUGCAAUUGCAUCACUCAAAGAUGAUCCCGCGUUGUAUUAGCUAGUUGGUGAGGUAAAGGCUCACCAAGGCGAUGAUACAUAGCCGACCUGAGAGGGUGAUCGGCCACAUUGGGACUGAGACACGGCCCAAACGCCUACGGGAGGCAGCAGUAGGGAAUCUUCGGCAAUGGACGAAAGGCUGACCGAGCAACGCCGCGGGAGUGAAGAAGGUUUUCGGAUCGGAAAACUCUGUUGGUAGAGAAGAACGUUGGUGAGAGUGGAAAGCUCAUCAAGUGACGGUAACUACACAGAAAGGGACGGCUAACUACGUG